UCUGGAUUAGUAUAUCGGCUAGUAUAACCGCCUCUCACGCGGUAGAGCGGGGUUCGAUUCCCCGAUCCAGAA